GACACAUCCUGUCAGAUGACCUGAUUUAAGAGCACAGGCUAAAAAGAUCUAGAUCUUGAAAAGUCUUUUUUUUUGGCAGUGUGGUAGGGUUUUUUGUGUUUUUUUAAGGGAAUCUUAGGGCUUAAUACUUUAAUGUUUUGGGAGAGUCUCCUGAAAAGUAAUUACUGAAUCCCUUCAGGACAGGGACCUGCCUUCUCUUUUUGUGCAAAGUGUUGUGCCCGUGGGUGGUACUAUGUAAUGAUAUAUAUUAUAAUAAUGAACAAUAAGACCAAAAUCCAUCCACCGGCUGAAGCUGUGCUUUAGCAAAGCCCUCCCAAAGGAGAAUGCUCCAAAUCCCUCACAGUGGCAGAAGAGGGGGAGGGGAAACUUGGCAGUUGGUGGCAGUUGGUCUGAAAAAUGGCAGCUCUUUUGUGAGAGAAAAAAGGGUUACAGGCUGACCCACCAACCUAUUUCUAUGACUCAAAGGGGGAAAGGAUAUAUUAGCAAAGCAACACGACUGGCAGUUGUGAUGAAGAAUAUUCAAGCAAAGACCCAUCAAAGACCCAAGCAAAGACCCAUCAAAGACCCAUCAAUCAAUCAAGCAAAGACCCAUCAAGCAAAGACCCAUCAAGCAAAGACCCAUCAAAAUAUCUUAUUAAAAUUAUAUCAAAACAGCAGAAAUUUUGGGUUAAAAAAUCACCUCAGCUAUUGCCCUUUAAGAUAUUAUACGACAAAUAUGAAUAUGAUAUUACUGUAAACUACCUAGACUACCUAGUGAGUUUGGGGCAGUUUAUAAAAAUGUUAAAGAAAUAAAUAAAAUAAAUAAAUACCUACCAAUUA